rnacentral:rRNA from 1 species
UACGUAGGGUGCAAGCGUUAAUCGGAAUUACUGGGCGUAAAGCGUGCGCAGGCGGUUGUGCAAGACAGAUGUGAAAUCCCCGGGCUCAACCUGGGAAUUGCAUUUGUGACUGCACGGCUAGAGUGUGUCAGAGGGGGGGUAGAAUUCCACGUGUAGCAGUGAAAUGCGUAGAGAUGUGGAGGAAUACCGAUGGCGAAGGCAGCCCCCCUGGGAUAACACUGACGCUCAUGCACGAAAGCGUGGGGGAGCAAAACAGG